GUCUAUAGCCAUGCCACCCUGAACAUGCCCUAUCCCGUCUGAUCUUGGAAGCUAAGCAGGGUCGGGCCGGACCCCGAGGAAACUGGUUGUGGUAGGCA
rnacentral:rRNA from 1 species